ACAAAAGCGAUGAGUAGAACGAGUAGAAGGUGAAGCUUUUGAAGAGAGCAGGUGGUCGGUGCGAAUCCUGUAAAGCCAGCCUUUGAAAAUCAUCUACGAGUUGCCGGCUGAAAGGGGUCAAAGCUUUCCGAGUAAGCUUGGCCGGUGAUGAGCCGUUAAUCAAAUUGAGUGAUUAUGAAUAUAUAUAUGAAUAUAUAUUCAUAAUAAAUUUGGGUGGUACCGCGUGAGAAUACUCUCGUCCCUUUU
rnacentral:ncRNA from 1 species